AGUGAACGCUGGCGGUAGGCCUAACACAUGCAAGUCGAACGGCAGCACAGUAAGAGCUUGCUCUUACGGGUGGCGAGUGGCGGACGGGUGAGGAAUACAUCGGAAUCUACUUUUUCGUGGGGGAUAACGUAGGGAAACUUACGCUAAUACCGCAUACGACCUACGGGUGAAAGCAGGGGAUCUUCGGACCUUGCGCGAUUGAAUGAGCCGAUGUCGGAUUAGCUAGUUGGCGGGGUAAAGGCCCACCAAAGCGACGAUCCGUAGCUGGUCUGAGAGGAUGAUCAGCCACACUGGAACUGAGACACGGUCCAGACUCCUACGGGAGGCAGCAGUGGGGAAUAUUGGACAAUGGGCGCAAGCCUGAUCCAGCCAUACCGCGUGGGUGAAGAAGGCCUUCGGGUUGUAAAGCCCUUUUGUUGGGAAAGAAAAGCAGCAGGUUAAUACCCCGCUGCUCUGACGGUACCCAAAGAAUAAGCACCGGCUAACUUCGU
rnacentral:rRNA from 1 species